UGAUAUAUUUUAAGAACUCAAAUUUAAAAGGGGAACAAGAAAAUAAAACCCUAAGCUCAAAUGAACAUCUCUGAAGAUCAUCUUUUCCACUCGAUCUCUCUCAACUCAAGUAAUUCCUAACCUAUCGACUUUCAAUCGUGAACGCAUCUUUCGCUGAUUCUUCAAGCUAUUCGCCCUGCUCAAUCGUUCUCUUCGUUUCUGCAUUGACUCGGUACCUUUAUCUUUCUCUCUCAAAUCCCUCGUUCUUAUUUUCUUCUGCUAUGAUUUCUUAUCUUUCUUUUUUGGGUUUUUUGUUUCUGUUCUUUAUUUUUUAGGGUUUGUGAGAAUUUUUUAGAAUUUGUGGUUUGUGAAGAUCUUUGAAUCUUUGAUUUUUUUUUCUGGUGUGAUGUUUGGUUGGUCUGUUAGACCGGUUCGAUUCCUUGCUAAUUGUUUCCUUGAGAUUUUUGAAUCACAUCUAACCUUUUCAAGUAUUUUGGUUGUCUUCUACUAGUGCUCUGAUUUGUUCGCCCAGUAGUGCCCUUUAUUGAUGCUUAUUCUUAUAGUAGUAACUAUCCAAAUAUUAUAGCAUUGAGCCACUAACUACCAACACGUUUCCAUAACCUCUCAUUCACCUAUUAUAUCCAAAUACCAGUGCUGAUGCUACUAUAAAUUAUGUUUACUUAUAUUUAAAAGAUGUGAGAUUCAAGCUAAAAGCUAAAAGAAAGCUAUACAAAAUAGUGUUAAAUAGACAAAAGACCAAUAGAAAAGGAACAAAAUCAAACAAAACCUUAUGACUUUAGAAAUAUGAAAGUCAUUUUGUACCAUAUCUAAUGAAUUGUGAUUCUAAUUUUCAUAACUGAAUGCAUGAGGAAAAAUUGAUUUGUAGGGCUGCAACAAUUAAUGAAAACAUUAAACAUAAGUUAGAACAUGUCACUAUAUAUAAUAGCUGAAAAUAAGCAUGAUAAAUAUAAAGAAAGAGUUAGUUUAUUUACAGGAUUUAGCAGUUACUUGUAGGGAGUCAUCCAAAAGCAAUGUGUUUGACUCAUUAUAAUAUUCAUUCUCCCAAGGAAGAUUAGGAUUAUAUACUUUGUCCUAAAUUUUCCUCAAAUCCUUCAAAACGUACAAGUGGUUUGUGCUUGUUUUCAAUAGUACUGUCAAGAAUGUUUUACAAAAGAGACCAAUCAUGCUAAAAACUUGCAAGUAUCAGUCAAUAAAGAAUUAACAUAUAGUACAGAGAAAUGGAUUGAGAACGGUCGACAUUUCUUGCAGUAGUAAUCUCGGCCAUACUUUGAGAUUGGAUGGUAAUGAUUUUAAGUUGUAUUGUAAUCUCCUGCCCCAACAGUUACUCUCAUACACAUAACUGCAUUAAGGAUGGGAUGAAAAAAAAGCAGAGUUAGAUUCAAUGAUGCAGAAAAGAACAAGUUAAAUCAUUUGGUAGAUUGAAUAACACAAGUUAUUGAUGCAUCACUUUCGUAAGGUCAAUAUCAUACAUAAAAGAUGAUUACGUACUGUGUAGAAUUCUUCAUUUAUAUGGCAUCUCAGGUAUAGAUGUCUUCGUUGAUGAGUUUUAUCAGUAAUGGUCCAUUUCCAUGUUAAAGCCAAAAUGAAGACUAUAGCGUCUAGAGGAAGUAAUGCUAAUGCACAUAAUGAAACAAUUGUUAUGACUUUCUCUCCCUUCGAGAUUCAGAAAGGAGUUACAAAUUUUCUGAAAAUAUGUGUUUACUUUAUUCUAUCUUCUGGCAUGACGUGUGUUGGGACGGAGCUUGUUAAAGAUGCUGCCAAAAUUCCUAAAGGUAAUACCGUGAACCAUCAAACGGUAUGUGAAAUUAAAGUUUUUUUUUUCCUUUAUCUGUCAUUUAAUUAGUUUUAUAUCUCUUCUCUUAGCAAUUGGGAGAAAUUGUUUUUUUGCUUAUGUAUUGUGUUACUAAAACAGAAAGAUGAUGAUAUGAUAAGUGAAGAACAAGAACAGGGUAACAGAAAACUGUUUAAAUUUUUAUUCUAUUAGAAUCAAGUAUUAUUUGUUGAGAGCUAUUUAAUAAUACUAUUGAGCUGUUUAAAAAAAAGAAGCUACAGGAGAUAUGUUAACCUAAGCUUCCACUUAAUAUUGAUUUGCAUAGGAAAUUAGCGUGAUAUUUUUUUUAUUUGUUUUGUAUUGGAAAGUUCUUGCUCAUAAGUGGCAGUAAUAAAGUCAAACAACUUUCAAGGGAUCUAAAGUCAUUCGAUAGGAAGGUACCAUUCAAUAAUGAAGGUAAGUGCAGUCAUGGUACCAAGAAUGUAUAUCAUGGAGCAUGUGGAUUACAGCCUCUAGAACGAUCAAUACAUAUAUUUAUAGGAGAUUUAUUUGUAAUACCGACUAUAGACAAAAAAAAAUAAUUAGUUAAGCAUAAAGUGCUUAAUAUUAUGCUAAGUUAGUCUAGGUAUGGAUUUAAUGUAAUAAUAGAUUC